rnacentral:rRNA from 1 species
ACAAGCGGUGGAGUACGUGGUUUAAUUCGAUGCAACGCGAAGAACCUUACCUGGUCUUGACAUCCCGGAGACCCUUAGGAAACUAGGGGGUGGCUUCCAUCUGGAAGAAUCUGGAGACAGGUGCUGCAUGGCUGUCGUCAGCUCGUGUCGUGAGAUGUUGGGUUAAGUCCCGCAACGAGCGCAACCCUUGCCUUUAGUUGCCAGCAGUUCGGCUGGGCACUCUAAAGGGACUGCCGGUGUUAAACCGGAGGAAGGUGGGGAUGACGUCAAGUCCUCAUGGCCUUUAUGACCAGGGCUACACACGUACUACAAUGGCCGAUACAAAGGGCAGCGACACUGCGAGGUGAAGCCAAUCCCGUAAAAUCGGUCUCAGUCCGGAUUGGAGUCUGCAACUCGACUCCAUGAAGUUGGAAUCGCUAGUAAUCGUGGAUCAGCAUGCCACGGUGAAUACGUUCCCGGGCCUU